rnacentral:misc_RNA from 1 species
GGGCAUUGCAUUAAGCUUAUUCAAGUGUUUGAAUAGAUCAAGGCCUCAUUUCUUUACUCUGGAGUCAAUCAGGGUCUAUUUGAAAUUCCGCAGACGUCUCUUGAGACUUGGUAUGUGCUUUCAUGUCUCACUUUGCACUUUACCCUGUUGACAAAUAUAAACAAAAGAUUACAAUGGCAAUGGCUUAAAUUUUGAUUUCUAAAAGCUGUAGUAGUUCAACAAACUUAUAUAACUACACCCAGAAAUGGAUUUUAAGUAAUACAGGUUACAACUCAGAACCAAAUUCUAGGUAGUUAAUCAAGUCUUGUAUAAGAUCCAACAAAUUCUUGCCCAUCUCUUCCUGCACAAUACAUAGUUCCCAUGUUUUGGUGUCAUCAAUCAAUUUUCCGGCUUGCUUCCAACGCUAAUGAGCUCUUGAGUUCUAGUCAAGUGCAUGUUCCCCUUAAGGUGAGCUUCCAUGUUUCCUUCACUACUGCAGCUUAUAUUACAGAUGGCACACCGUAAAGAUUUUCUAAUUUGGUUCUUGACUUUAUAGUUCUUGCAAGCAUCCUCAUGUCGCCUUCCUUCAAGAUGUGAAAUAAGGCUUGUCUCAUGUUGGAUUUUUGUGUUACAUACAGCACAAGUCCACGGCAAGUCAGGAACAUCUCUACCAGCUGCUGCUGCAGUUGCCAUUUCCGUGUGCAUUAAAGGAGAACCUGUUUCUGUUAAAGCAGGAGAAGUCCUGCUUUUUGAUGUCCGGAUUUCAGUUUUCAGUUUUUCCAAAGCAUCCUUAUGUCGCCUUCCUUGAAAAUGGGAAACAAGGUCUGCCUUAUUUGUGGUUGUCACAUGACAUAAAGCGCAAGUCCAUGGCUCAUGGGUGCGCUUACAAUGUUGUUUAUCAGGAAGAUUGCCUCUACUUUCUGCUAACUUUGCAUUUUCCAUUUCUGAAGCAGGAGAAACCUUGCUUUUCAAUGUUUGGUUGUAGACUUUCAGCUUCUCACAAGCAUCCUGAUGUCGCUUUCCUCGAAGAUGGGAAAUAACGUUUGCCCCACUUGCGGUCGUUAACUGACAUACAGCACAAGUCCACUCCUUUUGGAUGCUAUUAGAUUGUAGUACAUCAGGAAGAUCUCUAGCUGCAAACACUGCAGGAGUCAUUUCUUUGAAAUCCAGAGGUGCACUUGUUCUGUUUCCUGCCGAAGCAAGGUCUGGUUCUAUUUGUCUAACCUGCAAUUGUAGUAUUAGAAAGAAAAAUGAGUGAACAUGCAAGUAAAUGGAUGAAGAAAGCAAGGGAAAUUAUAUAUGACUGAAAUUUACAGGAAAUCGUAUAAGGUAGGUAGCAAUAGCUUUAUCUGUUUAGUUAAUGUCAAUUCUUUAUUCUCUGUUACUUCCACUAAACUAAUGUCUUUCUGCACAACUUUAGUCUCUUCAAACUCUGGCUGCAAGAGCAUAGCAAAGGGUGAGGGAAGGAAGAAGGAUGCAGAUAAAGAUCAACGUUUUAUGUUUCUUGUAUGCAUCAAACAAUUCUUUUCACUAGCAUUCUGAUUCACAGGCCAAUUCUGCAAUGACUCGAACUGGAUACAGGGUACAUACCUUGCAAGGUGUAAGAUUCUCCAAAGCUUCAGCUCCAGUUUCCUUUGCAUUCUUCACCUCUACUAACAUGUUAUCCUUCUUGAAGAACUCCAUCAGUUUGAUUAAUCGGUUGAGAAAAAUGAGAGGGCCCAUAGAGAGGCAUGGAUGAACAAUGUGUUUAUAGACAUAAAGAGAGCCAUCAAAGUGAGGAGUAACCAAGCAGCCAACAAUAACAAGCUUAAUGUAAGUCCACCAUGGUAGGCAUUCAAGUAGCUUUGAAAGAGCAUUUUCAAACAGCAAAAUCAAAGAAAAGCAGACCCAAUAAGUGAUCGGCUUCUGGGUAUCUGAGAUGGAAUUAGUCUCAAUUGCUUGAAUGGAAGCACAUCUGCUAAGUACGAGAAUUUAAAAAUCUUCAAAGCAUACAAGGUUUCUGGUUACAUAAUAAUCAAUUUCUGCAUUAUAGUUGAAAUUUCUAAAGAGAUCAAAAGCAGUUUAUAUUACAAUAAUGAAGCAUCAUUGAAUUAAAUGUAGCAUAAAACAGCGUUAAAUAAAGAAGGGGCAAGAAAUUUUCCAAAAUUCCAAUGUCAAGUGAUUAACUAGAACUAGCAUACACUCAGAGAGACUUACAAGGGAUAGCCCAAAGCAAAGAGAGGCCAUGCAAGAACAUCAAAGCAGUGCCCUGCAAACUUGAAGAAAAGACCCAUUAAACCCAUCUUGGGAGGAAUUGAAUCUCUUAAAGAAAGGAUUUCUUGGCUUUUAUUCCGACGAAAAAUCUGCUCAAACACCAAAACCAGCAGGACCAACCAAAUGACAAAAACAUGUAAAGUAAGAAAACAAAAGAUAAGAUUAUAAGAACAGUGAGAACCUGCAAAGCAAUUUCUUAAGGCGGUGGGAAUCACUUGAUCCCCGAAAUGUCGAAUUUGCCCCCUCAAUCAAGUGGGUUAGGUGACUUUUUCAAUAAAAUAAGCCGCUGGUCUAGCGAAUACGAGGAGAAUCAAGUCCUGGGAAAGGAUUCAGAUUCUACAAGGAAUUCUUCGUACGUAUCUUUGUGCAUGGACUCCCCUUGUCUAUAAGCGCUCUCAUUUGGGAAAAUCCAAAUAACA